CUUAAAAUGGCCAUAACUCCGGUUCUAAUUGUUAGAAUUUAAAAAGUGAGGACAUUUUGGAAAUGCCAUUUCCCCUUCUAACAUCGAAAGUUCAUCGCUAGGGGCGCUAGUUUUAAAAAGAAAAUUUUUCAAUUUUCUAAGUUAAAAAACUCAAAAAUUCCAUUGUGCAUCGGGCUGAAAUUUUAGUAUGUUGUAGCCGCUGAUUAUACCUAUCAAAAAAAAUACUUAAGUCGAACCCCUGAUCCGAGCUAUAAGGGGUCAAAGUUCGAAUAUUGACCGGCCUCUAUCUCCGAUUCUAAUUAACAUUUUGAGCUAAAUUUUGGGUUUUUGGUCAAAAAUUGGGUUUUUGGUCGAAAAUCCACGAAAAAUUACGCACCCCGUGAAAAUCCGCGAAAAAAUUCGCAACCCGCGAAAAUUCGUGAAAAAAUACGCGACCCGCGAAAAAUUUCACGCCCUGCGAAAAUUCACGAAAAUCCGCGAAACUCCGAAAAAAUUACGCGCCCUGCAAAAAUCAGCGAAAAAAUCGGAAAAAAUACGCGGCCUGCGAAACUCCGCGAAAAAUUACGUGCCCCGCGAAAAUCCGCGAAAAAAUUCGCGCCCCGCGAAAAUCCGCGAGAAAAAUCGCGCCCCGCGAAGAUCCGCGAAAGACAUCGCGCCCCGCGAAGAUCCGCGAAAGACAUCGCAGAUCGUGAAUUGUAUAUGCCACCUUACAAAUCCUCGAAUAUAGACUGACUAUGUACAGAGGGAGAGUGAGAGAAAGGGAGAGUGAGAGAGUGUUAUAAUGGGGAAAGCUUGUCCGACGCCGCUUCUCCCGCUUUUUUCCCGCCUGACGAUAAUAGCAAAUAUUCUUAAAAUUGAAAUCUUUAAAGUGAAAUAUCUCGAGAACCGUUCGACGAAUGUCUUAAUUUCUUUUUUUAAAUUGGUCUAAAUUUUCUGGACUACAACAUAAACAUAAAAAAUUCAAAAUCGCAUGUUUAGAUUUCAAGAUAAAUUACAAAACGUGAUUUUUAACCGGUUUAGAACCGGUUUUUCAAAAAAUUAAUAGCACAGAAAUCGUCGUAUGCUCGCGUAGAUAUAUUAAUAAAAAGAAUUAUGAAGAUAUCUCUAUCCAAGCCAAAGAUAUUGCGUGCUACGGAGGGCAGCCGGACCCGAAAUUACCGGCUUAUGAUUUUCGGCAUCAGGGAUGUUCAAAACAUAUACCCUGUGUAUUUCAGCUCGAUCGGAGCACUUUGAGAAAAUCCGAGGAUUACAAUAGGUGUGAUUAGAAGGAAUCACACCUUAGGAUAUUAUUGUUUGAUUUAGAAAAGGAAUAUUGAGCAAAUCACUUCACUCAAAGGAAGCAUCUCCCUAUAGAGUGGCGGCAUUUUAUAUAGCGUGUAUUUACGGGCUCGUCGUAUUUUUUGUCAGAAAAUUAUUUUGAAAACCCAAAAAUGUGAUGUGCUAUCAUAACACAUCAAAUAUUUUUAAUUUUGAGGAUUUUCGAAAUCAUUUUGUGAGAAAAAGUGAAGUUUUUUGCGAAGGGGUCACAAGUACUGCCGCCAUCUUAUGUACUAAAAUAUUUAACGGACUAAUCAGAUUUUCAUAAAUUGAAUUAAAUGAAUAAAUUGAUUUGUUGGCUAAUUUUAGCCUAGUUUGUCCUACCUAGAAGUUAUUUUUAAAACACGAAAUCUUUUAAACUUUUUCUACUUUUCGGAAACCCCUAUUUCACUUUGUAAUUAUUUUAAUAAAGCAGUUUCGAAUACAGAACUAUGGUCAAUAUUUCCAAGAUUUUUCGACAAAAAUACUAUUUACGUAUUUUGGGGAGCUACAUUAGUUUUUAGGCCAUAGGGGGAAGUGGGGCACUUUUGAAAUUCGGAUUUUCUCCUAUGUUUAAGUGGAACUAAGCCAUAUCAUAAUGCAAUUUAGCUUCUCAAUCUGUUUGUGAAGCUAAAUUAUAUCACGAUAAAACUCAAUUUUAUUUAAAAAUAGGUGAAAAAUCUCAAUUUCAAAAAUGCCCCACUUCCCUCUACUUCCUUUAGAAGUUUGUUAUAACUAAAGUUGGGAGUUUUGUUAUAUCAAUGCUUUACAAAUGGUCUAAAGAACUUUUUAGAUAAUUAAAUUCUUACACAUAUAUUACUUGGAGGUCGGCAAACUAUGUUAAAUUUUAGAUAUAAUGUUGUAUAUAAACCCCGUCCUAAGUUUACAGAAUACACUUUAGAGACUUCGCUUGGCGGCCUCUUGGAAACAUUGUAGGAUAUGCGUUUUAAUAUACCAGAAGCUCUCAGCCCAAGAAACUUCGUCUUCUCAUAUUUCACUUGAACAUUUAACGAUCGUGCCGAAAACAGGAAUUUGGGAAAUGAGUUAAUUAAUGAAGUUGUCGAAUUAAAGAGAAGCAUCACGUAAGCCCCAAUUAUGUUGGAAUUGAUCUCUUAUAUCGUUUAUUACCUCACAAGAACCCUAAAACUUUCACUCCCAGUAAAUGUAUGUAUCUCCCCAACAACUCGAUUCGUGGGUGUUUUCUGGGCAUGAGAGAUAAGUAGAGUGUCUGGGCAGGUUGCAAAGUAAAUGGGCCCUGUAGGGGAAUUCUGUAAUUUUCGUGGCAUUGUCACGCGUGAGUUCGAAGCCUGACAAUGCCAUUCGAGCUUUUUUGUCAUAUCAUAUGAGUUCGAAAAUGCAAUUCAUUGAUUUUUUAAUGAAAUCCCUUGAUGAUUUUAUGAAAAUACAGUACGUCUUGGUUGAUUUGUUUAACAACAUUCAUUGUCAUUUGAAUUGCCAGAAAUCUCAAAUAUGUGACUUCUGACAAUGCCACGUGAGCUAAAAUGGCAAUGUCACGGCUACAGAAUCGCAUUUUCGAAAAAAGCUCUCCUAAAGAUUCGAACCCAAUUUGUCACAUGGCAUUGCCAGAGCGUUACAGAAUUCCCCUCCUGAUUGGUAGAGAUGUGACCAAGGGAACCUCACUUGAAAAAAGUGUACAAAAUGUAGAAAAAAAAAGAAAAGAAAAGUUUUCGGAAAGAAAAAGAAAAGUAAAAAAAAAGAAAAAAAAGAAAGAAAAACAAAGGAAAAAAAUGAGAAAAUGUUUAAAAAUUUGUAUUUGAAUUUAAAAUACAAAAAAAAAUUACAAGCCUAAUCAAUUCUUACUUGUAUUUUUUUUUAUAUUGAAAUUCACUGGUAUAAGAGUUUAAACACUUAUCUUCUAAAUUCCAAGAAGAAAUUUCUGGAUGAUAUUGGUGUCUGAGGACAAAAUAUCCACCUUGGUAACAUCUAAAACAUAUCCAAAAAUGAAAAGUAUCGAUAGUUUUAGUUUUUGAGAUAUUCCCAAGAAAGUGGCUUUUCAAAGAUCCAAGAAAUGGAAGAGAGCGCAAGGAAAAUCGCGAUCAAUCACGAAGAGCUAAAAUUUCAGUUUUUGGUCCUUAUGCACAAAAUAAGGAAAACUUUAAGAUUGGAAAAGGACACGCUUGUAAACGAAGUACAACUCAAAAGAAGUUUUUAUAAAGUAAAUAAAAAACCAGCUAAAAAGUGAAGAUUUUUUUUUAAUAAUAAGAAAAAAGAAAAAAGGAAAAAAAAGAAAAAAAAGAAAGAAAAACGAGGUGUACAAAUUUCUUGAAGUGAGGUACCCUUGGAUGUGACAAAAAAUGAUGCAAUUUCUUUGGAGCGGUACCUCCUCUCUGAAUAUAUUUUAAUGCUCAUUUCGCCAAUUCUCAACGUGUCAAUCACAUUUUAGUGAAAUGGUCAAAAAUUUUUUGAGGAAGACACUCAAAAUCCAUGUUUAAAAAAACUUUCUCCGGAAUUCUGCGUCUAAUUAGUGGCGCCAAUAGAGAUAAGAUUAUCAUUCGUGAAUGUGGAGACAAAAGGUGAAUUCUCAAAAGAGGCAUCGAUUUUAAGAUGAUGACCAAAGUAUUUACAUUCAUUUCAAAAUCACGUUAAAUCAUAACAAACAAAAUGAGAGUGUUGACAUCAUCUUAAUUGACUGACCGGUCUUUUAUUGUAUAGCUAUCGAUAAUAUGUUGAACGUUGCGAGACAAGGUGGAAAAUUCACGCAAAUGCCAAUUGCUUGUCGCACGCGAUGUAGCAUCGAUCAGAAGAAGCCGGUAAUUUUGUAGGUCAUAUAAAUUAUCUCGUCUCUUGAUUAUCUUAUUGGUUUCCUUGUGCGUCUUUUUACACUCUCGUUCCAUUUCAUCACUUUCAAUAAAGUUUUAAAAUAGAUGUUCUCAUCAUGUCUUCACCUGUAAUAACAGUUGCAUUAUAAAAAAGACUUAUUUGUCAAUUAAAAUUUUAUAUCAAAAUUUAAAUUUCGUUUUAAAAGCAUGUUUAGCUUCUACACAAGAUCCAUUUUAGAAGCCCACAGGACAAGUUUCUAUGUAUUUUUUGAGAGCAUCGCACUGUUCUGAUUCUGAUGCUUAUUUUGCUGGACAAGCCUACAAAACAAAAUUUAAGACUAUUAAACUCAAGCUAGGAGGAAUAUUAAAUAAUUAUCUCACAUUGAAAAGAAUUUUCUCAAUGCAGAAGAGCAUGAAUCCUGGUGCAGCGGUACAGAUAGGAUCAGCAGGAUCUAGUGGGGGAAGUUUUACUGCUUCAUCGAAUUGUGGACCUAAUUCUUUGACAAUUCCAGCACAUUGUGUUAUAGCCGACUCAAUUACAAGUUCCCACUCAGGCAUUCCUUCUGCUAUCGUCUUAAAUCCAGUUAUACUAGAAGUUCCACAUUAAUAUCUUUUCCAUUAACUAAGUUGGUCACGUUUGAAAUACAUUCGGCUACGCACUAGAAUAAAACUGUUUUAAAAUUUUCUUUUUUAUAAGAAUUUAAGAUGAAAGCACUCACACCUCCUCGAAGAGGUCCUCCACUUAAAAUAGAUUCCAUUACUCGAAUGGUUUGGGCUCCAUACUGCUCCAUGCAGGACUCAACAAGUGCAUCAUCUAGAGGCAUGGGAAAUUGACAGCAUUGUUUAGGAUAGGUUUCUGGUAACUUUCUACAAGGGUUUGCCACAAUCACAUUAAUCGUAAUCAAAGUUGCGAAAGACAAAAAAAUUGACUUCUUCAUCGCUAAUACAUAAAUGUUUAAAAUAUAUCUAAAGACUGAGGUGGUACCUCUAGAAAAAUGUCGUUUUAUAGCCAAAAUGAGAUCUUAGUGGUAAUGAUAAGUGUUCAGAAUUGAAAUUUCUAAUUAUUUUGCAAGACAUUUCAUUUAUUUUUAAUGGAAAAGUUAAAAAUGAAUUUAAUUAGAUAAUUGAAAUUUUCCGAAAAAUUGAAACCCUAAUCUGCUAGAAAAUGUAAACAAGGAGUGGAAGUUGUCAAAUUAUUGUAUGUACGCAGCCUAAUUUUUGUGAGAGGAAAAGGAAAAGAAAAUUGUGAAGUGAAAAAAGGUGAAUAAUUUGAAUAGGAAAAGGAUAGUGAGGAGUUUGUGAAAAAGGAAAGGAAAAAAGGACAUUUGUGGAAAAUAAAGAAGUGGUGGUGGAAAGAAAAAUACGCAAUUUUACUCAUCAAAUCAGCAAUAUCGUCAAGUCGUCAAGGUCGAAAAGGUCAUCCCAAGAUCGCAGAAGAAAACAGCUGGAAAAGGGCGCUUUCGAUCCGGAUAUCGCCCCCAUAGAGAACUAGUCAAAGUCUCUUUCUAAUUUUAGGUAAUUUACCCUACAAUAAGCAUUUUUCAAAGCAUCAAUUUAAAUUUUGUGCUGUACGGACAGUUAUAAUUUAUAGCCAAAAAUUAAUUCUUUAAUGAUUGUUUGUAUUUGUGGAUUUUUUAUGUCUCAUAUUCUUCUUUUAUCAGUUAUUCCAAAGAAUAGAGAUUGAAAAUUGCAAAUACUGCGUUUUGUGAUUAAAAUUCUGCAUAAGUUCGUGCUAAUAUUUGUCGAUAAACUUCAACAGAAAAAAUUUAAAACAAAAUUGUAGUUUAUUAUAGAAGGAUCGGUACAUAUGAAACAUGGAAAACGAGGAAAGCUUAAUUAUUUUAACUACCUUAAAAAGUAGUUUAUCAUACCCAGAAAAAAAUAUUUUGUAAAAUUGUUCGUAAAUGUUUCUGAAAUCCUUUGGAGGACUUACGAAAUGCUCGUGAAUCAUAUAACCUACAAACUAGUUCGUAAAAUUUUGUACUUUUUUCACAAACAUAAUUCGUAAAAUGAUCAUUUGACGAACAUUUUUUGUACUUUUACAAACAUUGGUUUGUAAAUAUUUGUAAACACACAAAAAAUUUUCGUAAAAUUUUGUCAUUUGUUCGUAAAUUUUUGCCAGACAAACAAAAAUUUACGAACAAAUACGAACAAAUGACAAAAUUUUACGAACAUUUUUUGUCAAAUUUUACGAACAUUUUUGAGGAAUAAAACAAGUGUGCGAUAUUGCAAACUGUCCGAUAUUUGGCCCAGUAGUGUCACACACACACACACACAAACACCUUGCCAGUUUUCCCACUAAGUGGGGUUGGCAUUGGCACUCCUUGUACAUCUUCGCCAGGUUGCGCGAUCCUGGGUCGUUUCACUUUCGAGUCCUUUAGACCUCAUGUCCUUUUUUACAGUGGAGAGCCAAGUGGUAGGGGGACGACCCGGACCUCUCUUUUAGUGGGGUUCAUCGAGAACUCUCUUUAUUAGAUGAUCCUCCGGGCGCCGCAUCACAUGACCGUACCAUCUCAACCGCGAUUCUGCAAGUUUCUCGCCAAUUGGUUCCACUUGCAUGCUGCCCCUCACGUGCUCAUUGCGCACCCUAUCUUUGAGGGUGACUCCCGAUGACCAUCUCAACAUUCGCAUUUCUGCUACGUGAAGUUUCUUAUCAUGGGCUUUAGUGGCUGCUCUGCACUCUGAGCCAUAAAGCAUUGCGGGGCGAACCACGGUUUUGUACAGUUUGCCUUUUAACUUUGGUGGCAUCCUUCGGUCACAAAACACACCGGAGAACUGCCGCCAUUUCAUCCAUCCCACUGAUAUCCUGUGUGCUACAUCUGCAGCAACAGAAAACCAUUGUGAGACAGGAUACUGCCCAAGUAUCUGAAGUUGUCGGUUCUGGGCAAAUCCUCUCCAUCCAAAGAUAGAGAUCCCGAGUCCUCGGAGUUACCGCUGAAGUUGAGGUGCAUGUAUUCGGUCUUCGAGCGACUGAUUUUAAGACCACCACUCUCUAAUUUCUCCCUACAGAGAUCUAGUCUACAUUGUAGAAGAUCUCUGUUUUUAUCCACCAGCACCACAUCGUCUGCAUAGAGCAGAGUCCACGGCGCUUCGGUCUGGAUAGAGGAAGUUAAAUAAUCCAUAACUACAAUGAAGAGUAAUGGACUUAGAGCCGAACCCUGAUGCACCCCAACCCACACUCCAACUCCAGUCAAGCCGCGUAUUUGCGUCGUGACCUAAUAGUACAUAUCCUUUAUUACAUUUAUGAAGCCCUCUGGUACGCCCUUUGCUCGAAGAGCUUCCCAGAUGAGCUUUCUAGGGAUGCGGUCAAAUGCCUUCUCCAGAUCAAUAAAGAUUAUGUGUAAGUCUUUUAAUGACACUUUGUAUUUCUCCAUUAGAAUUCUAAUGGAGUGGAUGGCAUCAGUUGAUGAUUUUCCUUUUUCAAACCCACGUUGGUUUUUCGUGAUCAUCGUGAACAUCUCCUCUGCUGUGCCGUGGUAAUGUAGUCGUAGAAAGCUCCUUAUCUCAAGAAUAAAGUCAACGCAUGACUCCAUUUUGUGCCACCGGAUCUUCGGCGGUCCUUUAUUGACUCUAUUAUGACGCUGUUGCACAACUUUCAAGUCAGCCACAAGCAGUCUAUGCUGUGUCGUCAAAGGUUCACCCGGGAUGACCUUGCAGUCUUUGAAUUUUCCCAGGAUGUCCCUGUUGCACGUAAUGAAGUCAAUUUGCGUUGCCGUGUUUCCACUCUUGUAAGUGAUGAGAUGAUCGUCUUUCUUUUUAAAGUAGGUGUUCACGACCGAAUGGUUGUAUGCCUCCAACUCACACCAUAACCCAGUCCUCCAUGUACUCCAGGGUAGUUGGCGUUCUGGGAGCCAACAUGAGCUUUGAGGUCGCCACAUAUUAGCGUAUUUUCUUGUGGUGGAAUGGACUGUAGGAGCAGUUCCAUAUCGUUCUAAAAUUCCAUUUUGGUUAGCUCACUACAUCCUACUUGUGGGGCAUAGGCUGAGAUUACAUUAAGACAUGGCUCAUUAUCUAGUGCGAUCUUCACUACCAUAAGCCUGUCAGUUAUCUUCUCAACAUUAACCAAGCGGCUUCUCAUCUCUUCGUCCAGAACUAUCCCGACACCGUUAAUCUUAGGGUCGACUCCGUAGUAGAGCAAUGUGUAGCCGUCUCCCAACUUUCUCGCCUUCGAUCCCUUCCACUUGGUCUCCUGAACACAGGCAAUGUUCACACAUCGCCUACACAGGGUUUCGGCAAGUUCUUGGCCACCUCCAGUGAGUGAACCCACGUUCCAAGUGGCCACUCUUAUUUUAAAAUUCACGCUAAUCUUAUUUCUUCCGUCGUCGCUUCGAGGGGGGUGCCCUAGUUUUAUUAUUGCUUCCGUCGUCGCUUACGGGGGACGCCCUAACUUUAUACUUUUUUCUUUUGGUUGUGACUGUCAUGAUGUACAAUGAAAACAAAAAUUUUUGGCUUUAAGUUUUAUGGGCGGUUGCCACCUGACGCCAAGUUAGUAACCAUGUCUGAAUGGCUUUGGGGCUGUUCGUUGGCAAGUAAGAUACCCGCUCUUCCGCACACCUCCCUUUUGUGACAACCUAACAUUUGGCCCAGUAGUGUCUCUAAAAAAAUUGCAUACUUAAAGUUAAAAGUUGAGAUCAAAAUUCUAAUGUUAAAGACUUGAGCAAUCUUACAUAAAAUUCGCGGAAGUUUCGAUGUUUUUGCUAAAUUGCAUAAUUUCAAAUCCUAAACAAAUUUUUCAAAAUUGACACUUCAAUCCAAAUAGGUGUCAAAAGAAAACCCGCAGUUCCAUAAAUGUUAGCCAAAGUAUAACAAAGGCAUUUUAAACAGAUCGUGCAUAGAAUGCGUUACAUUGCGAGGGUGGACGAAUAGACGCACUUUUCGAUGGGACUAGCCCCAAAAUAGAUUCUUUCUCAAUCGAACUUGAAUAGGUGCCCACUCUAAUCGUCACUUAAUUGAAAGGUGGCAUCGUCUCGUGCCACAAAUCACUCGAUUAACAUAAUUGUAACGCAAUUUACUUAAUCAACUUAUGGACCAUCGGGGCCUAAGAUAGCGAUGGAAUUGUGGAUGGAAAAAAUGGGUGUGUGGCCAGUCGUAGUAUCUUCAUGCAUUAUUCAGGAACUCGUACGCAUCGCACGCAUUUUCUUGAGGGGCAUCACAAAAGCCGAUGAGAUGGUUAGCGACAUAUGAGACAGUUUAAGAGCCAAUCGGACGCACUCCGGGACCACAGAGUUUGCCCAAGAAAAAUGCUAAUUGACUGUCAUAAAUCACCAUUGGACACAAUUGAUGUCAAGAGGUGGACAUUAAUGAAAAGAUUGGAUGUCCAGCGCCAAACGAUAAAACAUAACGCACAUAAAUUAUCACGUGCGGAGCUGCAAACAAAAAUAAAGUAGUUAAAAGGUGCUCUAAGAUGCGAUUAGCUUGUUGAUGAGGUUGCAAAUUAAUUAAUAAUGUCAUUGAAAAUGCUUGAUUAUUUGACUAUUAAAAUAUGCAUCGAAUUUGAGAUUUUUAUAUUGGUGUUAAUUGCCUUGUUUAUUUCUUCUUCGCACGCAUUUUUUCGAAAGCACUUAAUACCUUCAAAAUAGUUUUUUUUAAACGAUUGUUCUUUUCAAUUUUUUUUUGCAAUAUUUAUUUUAAGAAAGAGUUUCAAAUCAUAUAAUAUUAUAAAUUUAAAUAAUUACAUCACUUACGCCAAUUGCAGGUUAAAAAGUGGUCCAUAAAUGAAUUACGAUCUCAUUGAAUAAUCAAUAUUUGUAUCAUUCUCCCUUCGAAUAAUGUUAUAACAUUUUAGGGCAUAUGACUUGCAAUAAUGUCAAAGUGUCUCAAUGAAAUACGCAUUAAAUUCAGGAUAUAUUGAUUACAUGGUUUAAUUAAUUGCUGGAUGCUCUAACUAAAAAGUUAAAAUAAGGCUCAACAAAACACUCAUCUUACAAUCUCUCGCCUGCUUCUGGUCCCCACCUUUCGACCUGUUAUCUAACCUCGUGUUGUGAUGAGUUUAAUUGAAAUUGAGUGCCUUUAGCUAGCGUUUCUCCGUCUUAUUACUGCUUGGUGCCUUCUUGAUGAGCCAUUAUCGCUCCAUAAUUCACAUGGUAUACCUCAAGACAAUUUUGCACGGUAUCUUCCCUCGUGCCCUGCUUCGACUGUGGCAAAAAUGCGGAAAUGAGCUCAUAUUGCCAGUUUAAUUGUGAUGAGAAUGUGCGAUUUUAGCAGCGAGAUGAAAGGGAGGUGAAUGAAGAAAUUAAUGAGAUGGUGCACUUGAGGAAAUAACGAUGGAGCGACAAAUGCGAAGGUGGAAAUAUUUCCUCAGCGAGACAUUGCAUGCAUACAAUUUCUUCCGCGCCUUCAGAGACACUCCAUUUUAAGUAUAAACCGAUACUUUUUAAGACACUUCCUCUGUCUUCACUUUCAAUACACAAAAGAUCAAAUUCAUUUCUGUGGAAAAAAAGAUGAUACCUUAAAACGUCUCAAUAAACAUCUUUUAUUUUUUCGGGUUCCAUCAAAUAGCCAUUAAAAUUUUGCUACAUGUUGCGCAAAAGAACCACACAGGCUGGUACUGGAAUCACUGGUACAGUCGUGAAACAAUAACUGAAAAUGAAAGUGAAAUUCAUUACGUUUAGCAAUAACUUUUCUGCUCAAAGAAGAUACCCGUCCACCUGGUCGUUUCGGUGAGCCCCGGAGUGAUUCCAGGCGAGGCGUCAAACUCGUUCACAGUCUCUUCUGGAAUGAAAGCAAGAGCGUCUUCAAGAGAUCAUCACUGAUGAUCCUCUGCGCUAUUAAUCAACACUCUAACAACCUCUUAAAGCGGUAGUGAAAAACAAAGAGGUUUUUAGUCUCACGAGAACCAGCAUUUUGUGUAAAGUUGAAUUUUUGUUAACUCUUUAGGUUUGUUUUGUAGAAAGACCUUUUAUGUAUUAAAUUAAGUCAAAAUACUAUUUUAAUAAAAAGCUUAACGUCUUAUCGCAA